rnacentral:rRNA from 1 species
UACGUAGGGGGCGAGUGUUGUCCGGAUUCAUUGGGCGUAAAGCGCGCGCAGGCGGCGCGGCGAGCCCGGCGUGAAAGCCCCCGGCUCAACCGGGGGAGGUCGUCGGGGACCGCCGUGCUGGAGGCCGGUAGGGGCGAGUGGAAUUCCCGGUGUAGUGGUGGAAUGCGUAGAGAUCGGGAGGAACACCAGUGGCGAAGGCGGCUCGCUGGACCGGUCCUGACGCUCAGGCGCGAAAGCGUGGGGAGCGAUCCGG